GAUGAACGCUAGCGGCAGGCUUAACACAUGCAAGUCGAGGGGCAGCGCGGGAUAGCAAUAUCCUGGCGGCGACCGGCGGAAGGGUGCGUAACGCGUGAGCGACAUGCCCGUUGCCCGGGGACAACCGGUGGAAACGCCGACUAAUCCCCGAUGGGAUAUUGUGCCGCAUGGCACGAUAUUGAAAGUUACGGCGGCGACGGAUUGGCUCGCGUCCGAUUAGCUUGUUGGCGGGGUAACGGCCCACCAAGGCUGCGAUCGGUAGGGGUUCUGAGAGGAAGGCCCCCCACAAUGGGACUGAGACACGGCCCAUACUCCUACGGGAGGCAGCAGUGAGGAAGAUUGGUCAAUGGGCGGAAGCCUGAACCAGCCAUGCCGCGUGCGGGAAGGAGGCCCUAUGGGCUGUGAACCGCUUUUGCCUGGGGGCAAUAAGGGCGUCGCGCACGUCCGAUGAGAGUACCAGGCGAAUAAGCAUCGGCUAACUCCGUG
rnacentral:rRNA from 1 species